rnacentral:rRNA from 1 species
UACGUAGGGUGCGAGCGUUAUCCGGAAUCAUUGGGUUUAAAGGGUCCGUAGGCGGUUUAAUAAGUCAGUGGUGAAAGCCCAUCGCUCAACGGUGGAACGGCCAUUGAUACUGUUAGACUUGAAUUAUUAGGAAGUAACUAGAAUAUGUAGUGUAGCGGUGAAAUGCUUAGAGAUUACAUGGAAUACCAAUUGCGAAGGCAGGUUACUACUAAUGGAUUGACGCUGAUGGACGAAAGCGUGGGUAGCGAACAGG